AUUGAACGCUGGCGGCAGGCCUAACACAUGCAAGUCGAACGGUAACAGGAAGAAGCUUGCUUCUUUGCUGACGAGUGGCGGACGGGCGAGUAAUGUCUGGGAAACUGCCUGAUGGAGGGGGAUAACUACUGGAAACGGUAGCUAAUACCGCAUAACGUCGCAAGACCAAAAAGGGGGACCUUCGGGCCUCUUGCCAUCGGAUGUGCCCAGAUGGGAUUAGCUAGUAGGUGGGGUAACGGCUCACCUAGGCGACGAUCCCUAGCUGGUCUGAGAGGAUGACCAGCCACACUGGAACUGAGACACGGUCCAGACUCCUACGGGAGGCAGCAGUGGGGAAUAUUGCACAAUGGGCGCAAGCCUGAUGCAGCCAUGCCGCGUGUAUGAAGAAGGCCUUCGGGUUGUAAAGUACUUUCAGCGGGGAGGAAGGGAGUAAAGUUAAUACCUUUGCUCAUUGACGUUACCCGCAGAAGAAGCACCGGCUAACUCCGUG
rnacentral:rRNA from 1 species